GAUCCGUUAGCUCAGCUGGGAGAGCGUCUGGGUGACAACCAGGAGGUCAUUGGUUCAAGUCCAAUACGGGUCA
rnacentral:tRNA from 1 species